rnacentral:rRNA from 1 species
AGUGAACGCUGGCGGCGUGCUUAACACAUGCAAGUCGAACGAGAACGGAAUAUAGCUUGCUAUAUUUGUCAGCUAAGUGGCGCACGGGUGAGUAAUGUAUAGAUAACCUGCCCUUAAGAAAGGAAUAACAGUUGGAAACGACUGCUAAUGCCCUAUAUCCCUUUAAUACAUAAGGAUGCAAGUGAAACGCUUUAGUGCUUAAGGAUGGGUCUGUAUGGUAUCAGCUUGUUGGUGAGGUAAUGGCUCACCAAGGCUAUGACGCCUAACUGGUUUGAGAGGAUGAUCAGGCACACUGGAACUGAGACACGGUCCAGACUCCUACGGGAGGCAGCAGUGGGGAAUAUUGCACAAUGGACGAAAGUCUGAUGCAGCAACGCCGCGUGGAGGAUGACACAUUUCGGUGCGUAAACUCCUUUUAUAUAGGAAGAUAAUGACGUUACCCGCAGAAGAAGCACCGGCUAACUCCGUGCCAGCAGCCGCAGUAA